GACGAACGCUGGCGGCGUGCUUAACACAUGCAAGUCGAACGGAACGGCUCCUUUUGGGUCUCCCGAUUGGCGACCGGGUGAGUAAGACGCGGAUGAGCUACCCUCGCCUUCGGGACAAGCUUCGGACACUGGGGCUACUGCUGGAAAGGAAUCCUAGUAGCACGGAGGGGGAUGGAAAGGUACGGCGGUUUUGGAAGGACUCGGGGCGUAUGAGCUUGUUGGUGGGGUAGUGGGUUACUAAGGCUGGGACGGGCAGCCGGCCCGGGAGGGCGAGCGGCCACAUUGGGACUGGGACACGGCCCAGGCUCCUACGGGAGGCAGAAGUGGGGGAGAGUGCACAAGGGGCGGAGGCGAGAUGCAGAAGCGCCGCGUGCGGGAGGACGACCUUCGGGUUGUAAACGGCUUGCAGCAGGAGCGGAGCAUGUGGUGACGGUACCUGCAGAAGAAGCACCGGCUAACUACGUG
rnacentral:rRNA from 1 species